GUACCCCAAACCGACACAGGUGGUCGGGUAGAGAAUACCAAGGCGCUUGAGAGAACUCGGGUGAAGGAACUAGGCAAAAUGGUACCGUAACUUCGGGAGAAGGUACGCUCUCGACGGUGAAGUCCCUUGCGGAUGGAGCUAUUGAGAGUCGCAGAUACCAGGUGGCUGCAACUGUUUAUUAAAAACACAGCACUGUGCAAAAUCGUAAGAUGACGUAUACGGUGUGACGCCUGCCCGGUGCCGGAAGGUUAAUUG
rnacentral:rRNA from 1 species